rnacentral:rRNA from 1 species
UGGGGAAUAUUGGACAAUGGGCGGAAGCCUGAUCCAGCCAUGCCGCUUGUGUGAAGAAGGCCUUUUGGUUGUAAAGCACUUUAAGCGAGGAGGAGGCUACUUGGAUUAAUACUCUAGGAUAGUGGACGUUACUCGCAGAAUAAGCACCGGCUAACGCUGUGCCAGCAGACGCGGUAAUACAGAGGGUGCGAGCGUGAAUCGGAUUUACUGGGCGUAAAGCGUGCGUAGGCGGCUUCUUAAGUCGGAUGUGAAAUCCCUGAGCUUAACUUAGGAAUUGCAUUCGAUACUGGGAAGCUAGAGUAUGGGAGAGGAUGGUAGAAUUCCAGGUGUAGCGGUGAAAUGCGUAGAGAUCUGGAGGAAUACCGAUGGCGAAGGCAGCCAUCUGGCCUAAUACUGACGCUGAGGUACGAAAGCAUGGGGAGCAAACAAG